GCCUUUGUAGCUCAAUUGGAUAGAGCAGUGGCCUACGAAGCCAACGGUUGCGGGUUCAACUCCUGCCAAAGGUG
rnacentral:tRNA from 1 species